GUCCACGCCGUAAACGAUGGAUACUAGCUGUUCGGAGCAAUCUGAGUGGCUAAGCGAAAGUGAUAAGUAUCCCACCUGGGAGUACGUUCGCAAGAAUGAAACUCAAAGGAAUUGACGGGGCCCGCACAAGCGGUGGAGCAUGUGGUUUAAUUCGAUGAUACGCGAGGAACCUUACCAAGGCUUAAAAUGGGAAACGACAGGUUUUGGAAACAGACUUUUCUUCGGACGUUUUCAAGGUGCUGCAUGGUUGUCGU
rnacentral:rRNA from 1 species